CGGGAUAUGGCUCAGUGGCAGAGCUCUUGCCUAGCAUGCAGGAAGCCCUGGCCAAUUAUCCCAA
rnacentral:tRNA from 1 species